rnacentral:tRNA from 1 species
AAGACUUUAAGUUAAAAUAAACUUUUAACCUUCAAAGUUAACUAUAAAGCAAAUUUCUUUAAGUCUUA